rnacentral:rRNA from 1 species
UACGUAGGUGGCAAGCGUUGUCCGGAAUCACUGGGCGUAAAGCGCGCGCAGGCGGCGAUCUACGUCUGGGGGUGAAAGCCCGGAGCUCAACUCCGGGACUGCCUUGGAUACGGGAUCGCUUGAGGAUUGGAGAGGCAAGGGGAAUUCCACGUGUAGCGGUGAAAUGCGUAGAGAUGUGGAGGAACACCUGUGGCGAAGGCGCCUUGCUGGCCAAUUACUGAGCUGAGGCGACGAAAGCGUGGGGGAGCAAACAGG